rnacentral:rRNA from 1 species
GACGAACGCUGGCGGCGUGCUUAACACAUGCAAGUCGAACGGAAAGGCCCUGCUUGCAGGGUCAUCGAGUGGCGAACGGGUGAGUAACACGUGGGUGAUCUGCCCUGCACUUCGGGAUAAGUCCGGGAAACUGGGUCUAAUACCGGAUAGAAGCCAUAUUUAGUGUGGUGGUGGCAACGUUUUUUCGGUUUAGGAUGAGAUCGCGGCCUAUCCGCUUGUUGGUGGGGUAAUGGCCUACCAAGGCUGCGAAGGGAAGCCGGGCUGAGAGGGUGGACGGCCACAUUGGGACUGAGAUACGGCACAGACUCCUACGGGAGGCGGCAGUGGGGAAGAGUACACAAUGGGCGCAAGCCUGGUGCGGCGACGCCGCGUGGGGGAUGACAGCCUGCGGGUUGUAAUCUCCUGUCGCUAUGGACGAAGCUAUUGUGACGGUACCUAGAUAAGAAGCACCGGCUAACUACGUG